UACGUAGGGUGCAAGCGUUGUCCGGAAUCACUGGGCGUAAAGGGCGCGUAGGCGGCUCAUGAAGGCUGUGGUGAAAGUCCGGGGCUCAACCUCGGAUCGGCCGUGGCGACUCGUGGGCUGGAGCACUGUAGAGGCGGGUGGAAUGCCGGGUGUAGCGGUGGAAUGCGUAGAGAUCCGGAAGAACACCAGUGGCGAAGGCGGCCCGCUGGGCAGUGGCUGACGCUGAGGCGCGACAGCGUGGGGAGCAAACAGG
rnacentral:rRNA from 1 species